ACCAAAAUGGCGCCAGAACCAGUAGCGGGUUGAGCCAUGGUUCCGGGCUUCUAGUCCCGUUCUAGACAUGGAGGAUGUGGAGGUGCGCUUUGCUCACCUCUUGCAGCCCAUCCGGGAUCUCACUAAGAACUGGGAGGUGGACGUGGCGGCACAGCUGGGCGAGUAUCUGGAGGAGCUGGACCAGAUCUGCAUUUCUUUUGAUGAAGGCAAAACCACAAUGAACUUCAUUGAGGCAGCACUGUUGAUCCAGGGCUCAGCCUGUGUCUACAGUAAGAAGGUGGAGUACCUCUACUCGCUGGUCUACCAGGCUCUCGAUUUUAUUUCUGGCAAGAGGCGGGCCAAACAGCUCUCCUUAGUUCAGGAAGAUGGGAGCAAGAAGACUGUCAACUCAGAGACUCCCUGUGAAACAGAGAAUGAGUUCCUGUCACUGGACGACUUCCCUGACUCCCGGGCUAAUGUGGAUCUGAAAAAUGAUCAGGCAUCCAGUGAGCUGCUUAUCAUACCCCUACUGCCCAUGGCCCUGGUGGCCCCUGAUGAAGUGGAAAAGAACAGCAGCCCCUUGUAUAGCUGUCAGGGUGACAUCUUGGCCAGCCGGAAGGAUUUCAGGAUGAACACGUGUAUGCCUAACCCCAGAGGCUGCUUUAUGUUAGAUCCAGUGGGAAUGUGUCCUGUGGAGCCUGUGGUGCCCGUGGAGCCAUACCCCAUGUCAAGGAGCCAGAAAGAUCCUGAGGACGCUGAGGAGCAGCCCAUGGAAGUGUCUAGGAACGGGAGUCCUGUUCCUGUACCCGACAUCUCCCAAGAGCCAGAUGGUCCAGCGCUCAGCGGUGGAGAGGAGGAUGCAGAGGAUGGAGCAGAGCCCCUGGAGGUUGCUCUAGAGCCUGCAGAGCCAAGGACCUCACAGCAGAGUGCCAUCUUGCCAAGGAGAUACAUGCUGCGGGAACGACAAGGGGCACCGGAGCCUGCCUCCCGGCUACAGGAGACCCCAGACCCCUGGCAGAGCCUGGACCCUUUUGACUCCUUGGAAUCUAAGGUCUUCCAGAAAGGGAAACCCUAUUCUGUGCCACCCGGUGUGGAGGAGGCUCCAGGACAGAAGCGCAAGAGGAAGGGUGCCACCAAGUUGCAGGACUUCCACAAGUGGUACCUGGAUGCCUGUGAAUGCUGAACACCCUGACGGCAGGAGGGCUCGGCGGAAGGGCCCAACCUUUGCAGACAUGGAAGUCCUGUACUGGAAACAUGUGAAAGAACAGCUCGAGACCCUUCAGAAGCUGCGGAGACGUAAGAUCAACGAGAGAUGGCUACCUGGGGCCAAGCAGGAUCUGUGGCCUACAGAGGAGGAUCGCUUGGAAGAGUCCCUCGAGGACCUCGGGGUAGCAGAUGACUUUCUAGAGCCCGAGGAGUACGUGGAGGAGCCUGCGGGGGUGAUGCCCGAGGAAGCUGCUGACCUCGAUGCAGAGGCCAUGCCAGAGUCCCUGAGAUACGAGGAGCUGGUCCGGAGAAAUGUGGAACUCUUCAUUGCCACCUCCCAGAAGUUUAUCCAGGAGACAGAGCUGAGCCAACGCAUCAGGGACUGGGAAGAUACCAUCCAGCCCCUGCUCCAGGAGCAGGAGCAGCAUGUGCCCUUUGAUAUCCAUAUCUACGGGGACCAGUUGGCUUCACGGUUCCCCCAGCUCAAUGAAUGGUGUCCCUUUUCAGAGCUUGUAGCAGGGCAGCCUGCUUUUGAGGUGUGCCGCUCCAUGCUGGCCUCCUUGCAACUGGCUAAUGACUACACAGUGGAGAUCACUCAGCAGCCAGGACUGGAGGCAGCUGUGGACACAAUGUCUCUGAGACUGCUCACACACCAGCGAGCCCACACCCGCUUCCAGACCUAUGCUGCACCAUCCAUGGCCCAGCCUUGAGUGGACAGCACUGAGGCAGGGGUGGAAAGUAGUAUAUACCUGGAGGUCUUUGCCCCUAAUGUGCUAUGGGGCCAUUCACUCCAGUGCUGCCUCCUGGCUGGCCUAGCCUAAUAAAGUGUUGCUACCCCACCUGUUCACCGGACAGACUAUUUAAAUGAGCUGCUGGUACAGAGCACAUGCACAGAUUAAGUACAUCCAUUUAAUGACAGGGCCUAGGCAAUAGGUAUAGUUCAGGGCAAGACACUGUGGAAGGCAGCUAUGUGCCGACGUAUACUCUCUACGAUCUGCUCUGCUGACCUGCUGCGACCAUAGUAAUCGGUGAAAAGACCAUCAGGGUUGAGCAGAUAGAUGGCAAUGGAGUGGUCCACAAUGUAGUCCUGGUCCUCAUCCUUAGGCCCAGCGCUGUAGUAUACGCGGUAGUUGCGACUAGCAUGGGCCACCUGUUCUGUAGAACCGGUCAGACCUAACAGUCUUGGGUGGAAUUCUUGCACAUAGCGGGCCAUGGCUGCCACGUCAUCUCGUUCUGGGUCCACAGUGAUGAAGACAGGCUGCACCAGGGGCAGGUCAGGCUCCGCCUCUAGCUUCCGCACCACCUGCACUAGCUUUUCCAGCUCAUCGGGGCAAAUAUCAGGGCAGUGAGUAAAACCGAAGUACAUCAGCACCCACUGGCCUCGGAAGUCGGCUUUGCAUCGAGGCUGGCCUUUGUGGUCUAGUAGGCUGAAGUCACCCUGGCCCACAGCAGCCUGGCGCAGGGCCUCUGUACGCUGCUGUUGGCGCCACUGUUCCUUCUCAGCCCUCGCGGCCAGCCAGGCCCAGCCUAGCCCAGCCCCAAACAGGGCUGUGAUCAGCAGUCUAGUUCUUAGCCCAGGGCCUUGGCGCUGGCCCUGCCCUGCCCAGUGUCGGGAAUUUCUAUGCAGAGUUUCACCUCCUGAGAUCCUGAGGAGGGGUUUGAACUGAGAGAGCUUGGGCCAAGCUUUGGGCCCUAGAGCCAGUAGCAUCGUGGACCUGAAGCUCCUGGAAAAGAACAAAGGUGGCAAAAGUCAGAAAAGAAUGGACAAGAUGUCUAGGCCUCCGCUGCUGGACAAGCAUCUGCCCCACAUUCAAGCAGGUUAUCUAGCUGCCUGCACCGGCUCGUCUCAACUCAGAACUGCUCUGCCGUAAGCUGCAUGCAGUCCAGGCAACACCAAAAGUCCAUAGCUGGUUUGCUCUAACCUACGUCUUUAACCAGGGAGUCUCAGCCUCAUGACCCCAACCUCUGGAGAACCCACGCCACAACUGCCAAGCCUCCCUGUGGAUUCUUGGAAGCACCGCGAAUAUGCUUUGCCUGGGCACUGGGAUGCAUGUGUCUAUUUACAAUAAAUUGUUCUUUAUAGGGA